rnacentral:rRNA from 1 species
UACGUAGGGGGCAAGCGUUGUCCGGAAUUAUUGGGCGUAAAGAGCGUGUAGGCGGUCCGGUAAGUCCGCUGUGAAAGUCCAGGGCUCAACCCUGGAAUGCCGGUGGAUACUGCCGGGCUAGAGUCCGGAAGAGGCGAGUGGAAUUCCUGGUGUAGCGGUGAAAUGCGCAGAUAUCAGGAGGAACACCGAUGGCGAAGGCAGACUCGCUGGGACGGUACUGACGCUGAGGAGCGAAAGCGUGGGGAGCGAACAGG